rnacentral:rRNA from 1 species
UACGGAGGGUGCGAGCGUUGUCCGGAAUCACUGGGCGUAAAGGGCGCGUAGGCGGCCUGCCAAGCGUGUGGUGAAAGCCCGGGGCUCAACCCCGGGUCGGCCGUGCGGACUGGCGUGCUCGAGCACUGUAGGGGCGGGUGGAAUUCCGGGUGUAGCGGUGAAAUGCGCAGAUAUCAGGAGGAACACCGGUGGCGAAGGCGGGUCUCUGGGCCGAUACUGACGCUGAGGAGCGAAAGCGUGGGGAGCGAACAGG